rnacentral:rRNA from 1 species
GACGAACGCUGGCGGCGUGCUUAACACAUGCAAGUCGAACGGAAAGGCCCUGCUUUUGUGGGGUGCUCGAGUGGCGAACGGGUGAGUAACAGGUGAGUAACCUGCCCUUGACUUUGGGAUAACUUCAGGAAACUGGGGCUAAUACCGGAUAGGAGCUCCUGCUGCAUGGUGGGGGUUGGAAAGUUUCGGCGGUUGGGGAUGGACUCGCGGCUUAUCAGCUUGUUGGUGGGGUAGUGGCUUACCAAGGCUGUGACGGGUAGCCGGCCUGAGAGGGUGACCGGCCACAUUGGGACUGAGAUACGGCGCAGACUCCUACGGGAGGCAGCGGUGGGGAAUAUUGCACAGUGGGCGGGAGCCUGAUGAAGCGGCGCCGCGUGCGGGAUGACGGCCUUCGGGUUGUAAAACGCAUUCGCCUGUGACGAAGCGUGAGUGACGGUAAUGGGUAAAGAAGCACCGGCUAACUACGUG